CCUACGGGAGGCUGCAGUGGGGAAUAUUGGACAAUGGGGGAAACACUGAUCCAGCGACGCCGCGUGAGUGAAGAAGUAUUUCGGUACGUAAAGCUCUAUCAGCAGGAAAGAAAAUGACGGUACCUGACUAAGAAGCCCCGGCUAACUACGUGCCGGCAGCCGCGGUAACACGUAAGGGGCAAGCGUUAUCCGGAUUAACUGGGUGUAAAGGGGGUGUAGAGGGCAGCGCAAGUCUAGAGGGAAAUGCCGGGGGCCAACCCCGGAACUGCGCUGGAAACUGGGAAGCUGGAGUGCAGGAGAGGUAAGCGGAAUUCCCGGUGUAGCGGUGAAAUGCGUAGAUAUCAGGCGGAACACCGGCGGCGAAGGCAGCUUACUGGA
rnacentral:rRNA from 1 species